CCUACGGGUGGCUGCAGUGAGGAAUAUUGGUCAAUGGACGCAAGUCUGAACCAGCCAUGCCGCGUGCAGGAAGACGGCUCUAUGAGUUGUAAACUGCUUUUGUACGAGGGUAAACGCAGAUACGCGUAUCUUUCUGAAAGUAUUUUAUGAAUAAGGAUCGGCUACCUCCGUGCCAGCAGCCGCGGUAAUACGGAGGAUUCAAGCGUUAUCCGGAUUUAUUGGGUUUAAAGGGUGCGUAGGUGGUCGGAUAAGUUAGAGGUGAAAUCGCGAGGCUCAACUGCGGAAUUGCAUCUGAUACUGUUAGGCUAGAGAGUAGUUGAGGUAGGCGGAAUGUAUGGUGUAGCGGUGAAAUGCUUAGAGAUCAUGAAGAACACCGAUUGCGAAGGCAGCUUACCAAGCUACUUCUGACGUUGAGGCACGAAAGCGUGGGGAGCAAACAGGAUGUGAUACCCUAGUAGUC
rnacentral:rRNA from 1 species